AUACGGAGGGUGCAAGCGUUAAUCGGAAUUACUGGGCGUAAAGCGCGCGUAGGCGGAUAUGUAAGUCUCAUGUGAAAGCCCUGGGCUCAACCUGGGAACUGCAUGGGAUACUGGGUAUCUAGAAUACAGUAGAGGGUAGUGGAAUUUCAGGUGUAGCGGUGAAAUGCGUAGAGAUCUGAAGGAACAUCAGUGGCGAAGGCGACUACCUGGACUGAUAUUGACGCUGAGGUGCGAAAGCGUGGGGAGCAAACGGGAUUAGAAACCCUAGUAGUCC
rnacentral:rRNA from 1 species